UGAAGCCUGCCCAGUGACAAGUUUAACGGCCGCGGUACCCCGACCGUGCGAAGGUAGCAUAAUCACUUGUUCUUUAAAUAGGGACUUGUAUCAACGGCAUCACGAGGGCUGUACUGUCUCCUUUCCCUAAUCAGUGAAACUGAUCUCCCCGUGAAGAAGCGGGGAUUUAUCUAUAAGACGAGAAGACCCCAUGGAGCUUUAAGUCCAGUAUUUAACCCACGCCCAUAUACCCUAUUAGCUAUUAAGGCCCUAAAUACCUACUUUAGGUUGGGGGGACCGCGGAGUAUAAUCUAACCUCCACGACUAAUGGGCCUCGCCCUUAUCCACGAAUUACAACUCUAAGAAUCAAUAAACUGAUGUUUUAUGAUCCGAAAAUUCGAUCAACGAACCAAGUUACCCUGGGGAUAACAGCGCAAUCCACUUCAAGAGUCCUUAUCGACAAGUGGGUUUACGACCUCGAUGUUGGAUCAGGGUAUCCCAGUGGUGCAGCCGCUACUAAAGGUUCGUUUGUUCAACGAUUAAACCCUACGUGAUCUGAGUUCAGACCGGGA
rnacentral:rRNA from 1 species